rnacentral:rRNA from 1 species
GACGAACGCUGGCGGCGUGCUUAACACAUGCAAGUCGAACGGAAAGGCCCUUCGGGGUACUCGAGUGGCGAACGGGUGAGUAACACGUGGGUGAUCUGCCCUGCACUUUGGGAUAAGCCUGGGAAACUGGGUCUAAUACCGAAUAGGACCACGCGCUUCAUGGUGUGUGGGGGCAAGCUUUUGCGGUGUGGGAUGGGCCCGAGGCCUAUCAGCUUGUUGGUGGGGUAAUGGCCUACCAAGGCGACGACGGGUAGCCGGCCUGAGAGGGGGACCGGCCACACUGGGACUGAGAUAGGGCCCAGACUCGUACGGGAGGCAGCAGGGGGGAAUAUUGCACAAUGGGCGCAAGCCUGAUGCAGCGACGCCGCGUGAGGGAUGACGGCCUUCGGGUUGUAAACCUCUUUCAAUAGGGACGAAGCGCAAGUGACGGUACCUAUAGAAGAAGCACCGGCCAACUACGUA